rnacentral:ncRNA from 2 species
GGGUCCAGAAGCUGUUACAGCUUCUGGAGGUUUUUCGUUAGCCGGGCCGCUAACU